CCUCGUUCGCUUCCCCUCCGCCGCACUGCUCCUCCCAUUCGCCAUGUUCGCUUCGCCUCUGCCGCUCCCCCUUCAUCGCUCCCCCUGCGCUCCUGCUCUGGAUCUCGUCCUCCUCCUUUAGCUGCCGUUCGUCCUCCUCGGUGCGCCAUUCUCAUGUGGUCUUCCCCCUUCUCUCUUCACCUGUUCUCUUCACCUCUUCUCUUACGUUUCUGCCUGUCUUGCAGCUGGGUCGGUGGCGCGGUGGAGGACCUGUCUUCGGAGUUGCCGGAGAGGCCUUCGAGAUGGCCCAGGUAGUUAUUUGAUCCGUUGUUUGCCUGUUCGUUUGUGCUGUGUUGUAUGGGUGCUGGAUUGAGUUUUUUCCAUGGAUCUCCUUAGGUUUUGCUGGUUGAUCCGUCCUGAUUAGGACUUGUCCGUGGUUCUGGUUAUCUAGCUGGUGGGUCGUGACGCUGCUGGAGUGCGGGGUGUCUCGCUGGUUUCCUUGCAGGUGAUUCUUCUCUCUCGCCUGGCCUUCGCCGUUCCGUAUAUACUAUAAAGGGAUAUGUGUUGUAGUCUGGUAGUUCUUGGUAUCUUUUCCAAGGGAUAUUGCUGAUAGUUGCAGUCUGGUGAUUGUUGUUAUCUUUUAGAAGGGAUAUUACUUCUACAGAAAAUGGCCAAGAGAAGUUCAGUUCAAGCUAAGCAUACAAUUUCUGAAUUUGAUAAAGCUGUAGAUAGAAAAAGUACCACUUCUCAUGCACCAAGUGAUCCCCAGAAGGUAGGUUAUAGUGUUCUACUGCAUGACAGGCUAUGUAUUUUCCUUUAUAAGGAGCAAAGUUUUCCUAACAUGCUUUGUCAGAUUAAUAUAAUUCAUGCACGUGGCUCUGUGAUUUUGGAGUAUCCUCUGUUCUGUUUCUUGUAGAGCUGGUUACAUUCCACCUAAGGUCUAUUCAGCAAACAUGUUUGGGUUUGUAAUGUCUGAUUUAAUUCUACAGGAUAGUUUCAUGGAAGUUGAUUCGCCUGUGACAGAUUACGCUCUGUACCAGUUCGGCACCAGCGGCGCCAUCAUCGCCGUCGCCACCACCGUUACGCAUCCGCUCGGUUAGUCAAUUGUGCGGGGUUUUUAAAAAAGGUUGUCCAUCUUGAACCGUAAUCUGUUCGACAGUGUUUUCCUAAUUCCCUAGGAAAUUAUUAGUCAUUUUUGUGUUUGGAGAUACACUAUUAAGGUGACUAAUAAAUUUUUCUCCUUUUACAAUGUACGGUUCAUAUAUAAGUUCAUAUAUUGUUUUGUUUACAUGUAUAUGAGAUACACGGUUAUGCCUAAUACCUGAAAUAUAUGAACUGAGAGCCGUUCUUUUCUUCCUGGACAUGUUGUUAUCUAUCUCCUUUGGUAUGGCAUCUCCUUUUAUAUUACUUAACAAAGUUCUUUGCUACCAGUGAAAUAUCCUAAACAAUCUGGAAAAUGUAUAGCUCAAAUGGAUAUAUAUAUAUAUAUAUAUAUAUAUUAUUGUGCUGCUGAUCUAUUUACUUAAUUGGCUCUUUGACGGACGUCUCCUUCACAUGUGUCUUUCUUCUACCUUUUUUGCUGACCGGUUGUUCUCGCUACUCCUUUUCAGUUCUUCAUGUGUACAGGAAGAAUAGGAAGCAAAAAAGGGAGGUGAGCAGGACUUGUGUACACAUGAUUAGGUGGGUCAGCUAAUCUUAUGUGGCUGAUGCACAAAUAGAUCGAGUGGCACUUUAAAUUUUCUCCACCUAACGAUUUUCUUGUUAUUUCCUUUUGAAUACUUAGCCAAGCACUGUUUCAUUCAUGUGAAACUCAAGAUUUGAUAGUGGCAACCUCAAAGAGAUAGUGGUGCAUAUACAUAUCUCACAAUUUGACAAAUAGUUAAAUUCCCUAUAUUUUAGUAUUUCUUUCUCAUUCCUAUUUCUGGUGACUAAACUGAACUUCUAUCAUUUUGCUCCCUGAGUUCUUGAUGGAAUCAUCACUCAGUUACACGAAUCUGUUUUAAUUUGUACGGAUUUGAAGGGGCUUUUACCAUUUCCAUCUAUUUUAACUGCAAGUAUAUUCAGUUGUAUUUUUUAUUUCGGUUUGCAAAAACUGGCGUCAGUCAUGCUCUUGAAAUCAUUACCACGAGUUAUAUUUGUUGAUUUCUCAUAGUUUAUUUAUUUCUCAGAGCUGGUUACCUAUUUAUCUUAACCGUGACCUUGCUUUGGCAUUUCAGAAACAUUUUAAUUGCUUAUUUGUAUUCUAUACUUUUGGGUGAUUUUACCAGUACCUUGCUUAUGUUUGUACAGUACUAUUGGAUAUCUGGUGGAGCUUUCAUUGUUGUACUGCUUAUUCCACCCCUUGCUUUGCUUUCCCUUUUUCUGGCUGGUCUUGAUGCACUUUUCAGCCGAGGACCCAAAAGAUAUCCCGUGCCCCAUAUUUCUACACUUGUAAUACUACUUCUGUCCCUGUCGAGUUCGAUAUGGAUAUGCCCCAAAAUGUAUUUUUGUUUUGCUAAACAAUUUAACGCAACUUAGUGAUAAAAUAUGUCUUCUAUUUAUGUACUCUUCCUCUCAAUCACCAAUAUGGUCCCAGUUAUGCAUGUUUAUGUAUGUGUUGUCUACAGGUGGUUAUGCUGGUUUUAUCUUUCGGUUGGUUGUUAGCCCCCUACAAGAGUUGUCACAAUAUGAAAAGGCUCCAAAAGGUGUCACGGUCAGGAAUCUUUUUUCCAGGCAUCCAGUGAUGAUCAGGUAACCAAACCAUAUCACAGGAUGUGUGUUUAUGUGGUCUGGCAAAGUAAUGCUCUUCUUUUGUGGUAUGUGGAAAGUAAUGCUCUCUUUGUUAUUCAUUUUUGAAGCCGUUAAAUAUUUUUGCCCUCAUAAUAGUUUUAGAUGUUAUGCCUUAUCAUAUUAUAUCUACGAGAAGUGAAUGUGUUUUAGCUCGUAUCUUCUAAAUUAGUGUCUUCCACCGCAUAUCAGAAAUUAAUGGUUCAUAUCAUGUUUUGUAUUUCUGUUAUAUCGUGUACUUCUUCAAAAUUUGUAUCUCAACCUAGCCUUCUUAGUGAUAAUUUUAGUGGAAGACAUUAGAUAACAACAAGUAUUUAUCACCUUUAACAAAAAUUAGUCUCCUUAUUAACAGAAAUACACUGAUCCUAUUCUACCACUAUAAUUUAGUUCAUGUGCUGUAGGCAUCACUGUCAUUGCAAUUCCUAAAGAUAUGGAAUUUUCAUACUAAUGCCGCUAAUAUAUUUGCUAAAGAGGUCUCAAAUUGAAAGCUAGGCAUACUCUUCUUCAUAAAUCGUGUUUUAUAACCAGAUCAACAAAGUUUUUGUAUUUCAUGAUUAAUAGAUGAAGUCAUGUUUGCCAAUGUCACCCAAAAAUACAAUAAUUAUUUUCCAUCCUGAGCUCAUUUCCAUGCCUGCUCUGGAAUAUUUUCCUACGGAGAAGAGGGCCACAGUACCAAUUGGGCAGACUUUGUCAAGGCAGCAGGAAUAGAAGAAUAACAUAUACUUAGAUAAGGAUCUUCGCCUUCAAGAUUAUAAGGGGAAAUUAUUGCUCACUGUCCUGUCCAUACUCUUUAGAAGGAAAUCACAAGUGUAUUUUCUAUACCAAACCAUCAUGUGGUCAUCCAUAUUACGAACUAUUCACACCAGAUUCAUAUGGAAUGGCACUCAUGGCGGUAGUUGAACCAAAGCUAUCUAUCAGUGCGCCUAACUAUGGCUUCGUAGUUUUAGCGCAUCCACGGCCACUGUGUUGGCAUUUUCUCGCUAAUGUUCCUUCUUGUACUACUGAACUUAAUGUCAACUAAUGAGCUUUUGCAAUCUCAUGGCUGCAUUAAACUUGAUGUUGCCUUACUUCUGGGGCCGGUUAGUUUUUAUAAUCUCAUGACUUUGUUGAACUCGAUGAUGUUACACUUCUGAAAUGUUUGUUCUUUUUCAUGAACCAGAAAAUCGGUUGUUCUGUUACAUGUGCUAAACUUGCCUUCCUACUAAUGCAUCAUGCGAUUUGAUCUUCCGCUGUUUGGCCAUGUUGGUUGGACCGGCACCCUCGUGCCAAGGCGCGUUACUGAUCUAGUAUCAAAUUAUCAAAGUAACGAACGCGAAUCAUAUGAGCAUGAUGAAAACUAACUUGACAACAAUUCCCAUGUGUCCUAUGGAGCGCUUUGCUUCAUAUAAGAGUUCGUCCAGGCUUGUCCUUUGCUAUAAAAAGGAUCGGGCCACCUUGCUGCACCUUGUUUACUUCUAUUACUUGUUACCCGUUACGAUUUGUCUUAUCACAAAACUAUCUGUUACCGAUAAUUUCAGUGCUUGCAGAGAAUACCUUGCUAAAAACCACUUGUCAUUUCCUUCUGCUCCUCGUUGGGUUCGACACUCUUACUUAUCGAAAGGACUAGGAUAGAUCUCCUAUACUUGUGGGUCAUCAUGCCACGUGUGGCGGAACUUCGCACACCACCGCUAUUGUAAAUAGUGGUGGUGUUGGAUAAACCAGGUGCACCACUAAUGACAUCGUGAAACACUAUUCCCAUGUGACCCUUAUGCAUCCCCAUCUAGCUAUCCUCUUCUUCUUUCUCUCUUCCUCUGCCUCCUCUCUUCUUGUUCUUGAAAGAACACCAAAUUCUUGUUCAUGAUUCUUAAUUAGGUGGCUAGAUCUAGCUAGGUGAUGCAUUAAUUAAGCUUAUCCUACACACACAUACAUUCCUAAGCUAGCACUCUCCUCCACCUACUCACACACACUUGAAUUAGUUUUUCCAUCACUCUCCAUUAACGGCGCCCACCAACCUACAUAAGGCCGGCCGACCUCUCUCUCUCGAUCAACCGACGACUAGCUCAUAUCAUCUUCUCGUCUCUCUCUAGGUAAAGAGAACUAGCUUCUCCCUAAUUAUAUGCAUGAUGAUAUAUGUGGUGGGUGUGUGUGAUUACUUUAUACAUUGCAUUAUGUUGCUCGCGAAUUGCUUUGCACUAUGUUUCUUUUUGCAGAGAAUGUCUAGAGUUGCCAAUGUUUUUGGCGAAAUGUUGAUUCAUUUUCGUUUUUUCAAAUUUCUGGCACUCAAUAUGUCCCAUUUUUGCAAAGGUCAUGCCGAAAUUUUCUGUGCGCUCGUUGGUAACAUAUAAUUCUUUUUUACUUAUACCCUUUGCAGGCAGCUCGAUCUAUUGAAAGAUUCCAUAUGGAUCGAAGUGUUGAUGGCUUCCUCAAGUUUGCGAUGAAAGACAUGAUGCGAAAGGGUGACGUGCAGAUGUUAUGUCCAUGUAAGAAGUGCGAAAAAUGGAAGUUUCUGUUGGAAAUAUGCCCUAGAGGCAAUAAUAAAUGGUUAUUAUUAUAUUUCUUUGUUCAUGGUAAUUGUCUAUUAUUCAUGCUAUAAUUGUAUUGUCCGGAAAUCGUGAUACAUGUGUG
rnacentral:lncRNA from 1 species